rnacentral:misc_RNA from 1 species
GAUGAAGAACGUAGCGAAAUGCGAUAAGUAGUGUGAAUUGCAGAAUUCAGUGAAUCAUCGAAUCUUUGAACGCACAUUGCGCCCUUUGGUAUUCCUUAGGGCAUGCCUGUUCGAGCGUCAUUUAAACCUUCAAGCUCAGCUUGGUGUUGGGUGACUGUCCGCCGCCUCCGGGCGGUCGGACUCGCCUCAAAUUGAUUGGCGGCCGGUACUUUGGCUUCGAGCGCAGCAGAAACGCGAACUCGAGGCCGUCGUCCUGGCUCCCAGAAGCUAUCUUCACAAUUUUGACCUCGGAUCAGGUAGGGAUACCCGCUGAACUUAAGCAUACAAUAAGCGGAGGA